AAAGCACCCAGUUAGCAGUGAUUCAGCCUCUACCUGGUGUCCAGCACUGGAUUAGCCACAAAGGGGAAGUUGUUUUCUGCUCUUAAGCCUAGAAUCUAUAUGAGAGAUGAGAUAAUGCAAAAAAGUUGCCAGCAAUACCAGAUGUGGUGGAUACCCAGGGAAGGAAGGGUACAGGGAGUUAGUACCCCGGGAGCUCAAAGGACUGCGAAGCUACAGCACGGGGCCACAGACGUGUUGCUCUGAUGCUCUAAAUACACAAGCAGGGCUGUCUGGAAGGUGGCUUUCAGAAGUGGUGAACAACUCUUGGUAAAGUUUGGCACAAAACAAGGACACCAACCAUCCUGGCCCGUGGUCACACCUCAAUCCCAAGAAAUGGAUGAAGCCAAGCUCUCCCCACCGAUUUCCAAAACGCCUGCGGGUGGUGACACUACCCCGGUUGAAAAACACUGAUUUGGAGGUUUUCUCUUGGAAACCACGCGUGUGAGAGGGAAGGCGCAGACCUGUGUUGUACCUAGAGGUUGGCAUUUCUUUCAGUUUUGCUUUUGAUGAACAAAAU
rnacentral:lncRNA from 1 species